CCUACGGGCGGCAGCAGUGAGGAAUAUUGGUCAAUGGCCGGAAGGCUGAACCAGCCAUGCCGCGUGAAGGUCAGUGCCCUAUGGGCGUUAAACUUCUUUUGUGCGGGAGCAAUAAUGGUCACGUGUGGCCAGACGAGAGUACCGUACGAAUAAGCAUCGGCUAACUCCGUGCCAGCCGCCGCGGUAAUACGGGGGAUGCAGGCGUUAUCCGGAUUAAUUGGGUUAAAAGGGUGCGAAGGCUGGGAGGUAAGGCAGCGGUGAAAUGCCCCCGCUCAACGGGGUGAAGUGCCAUUGAGACUGCCUUGCUGGAAUGCGGAUGCCGUGGGAGGAAUGUGUGGUGUAGCGGUGAAAUGCAUAGAUAUCACACAGAACACCGAUUGCGAAGGCAUCUCACGAAUCCGCGAUUGACGCUGAUGCACGAAAGCGUGGGUAUCAAACAGGAUUAGAUACCCGAGUAGUC
rnacentral:rRNA from 1 species